rnacentral:rRNA from 1 species
CCUACGGGUGGCAGCAGUGGGGAAUAUUGCACAAUGGGGGAAACCCUGAUGCAGCGACGCCGCGUGAGCGAUGAAGUAUUUCGGUAUGUAAAGCUCUAUCAGCAGGGAGGAAAAUGACGGUACCUGACUAAGAAGCCCCGGCUAACUACGUGCAAGCUGCCGCGGUACUACGGAGGGGGCAAGCGUUAUCCGGAUUUACGGGGUGUAAAGGGGGCGUAGACGGUCCGGUAGGUCAGAUGGGAAAGCCCGGGGCUCAACCCCGGGACUGCAUUUGGGACUGUCAGGCUAGAGUGUAGGAGAGGCAGGCGGAAUGUCUGGUGUAGCGGUGAAAUGCGUAGAGAUCAGACGGAACACCAGUGGCGAAGGCGGCCUGCUGGACGACGACUGACGUUGAGGCUCGAAAGCGUGGGGAGCAAACAGGAUUAGAUACCCCAGUAGUC